rnacentral:rRNA from 1 species
UUGACGGGGACCCGCACAAGCGGUGGAUGAUGUGGUUAAUCGAUGCAACGCGAAAACCUUACCACCUUUGACAUGUACGGAAUCCUUUAGAGAUAGAGGAGUGCUCGAAAGAGAGCCGUAACACAGGUGCUGCAUGGCUGUCGUCAGCUCGUGUCGUGAGAUGUUGGGUUAAGUCCCGCAACGAGCGCAACCCUUGUCAUUAGUUGCUACAUUCAGUUGGGGCACUCUAAUGAGACUGCCGGUGACAAACCGGAGGAAGGUGGGGAUGACGUCAAGUCCUCAUGGCCCUUAUAGGUGGGGCUACACACGUCAUACAAUGGAUGGUACAAAGGGUCGCCAACCCGCGAGGGGGAGCCAAUCCCAUAAAGCCAUUCGUAGUCCGGAUCGCAGUCUGCAACUCGACUGCGUGAAGUCGGAAUCGCUAGUAAUCGUGGAUCAGAAUGUCACGGUGAAUACGUUCCCGGGUCUU